GACGAACGCUGGCGGCGUGCUUAACACAUGCAAGUCGAGCGGUAAGGCCCUUUCGGGGGUACACGAGCGGCGAACGGGCGAGUAACACGUGGGUGACCUGCCCUCAGCUCUGGGAUAAGCCUGGGAAACUGGGUCUAAUACUGGAUAUGACUCCACGGUGCAUGUCGUGGGGUGGAAAGCCUUGUGCGGCUGAGGAUGGGCCCGCGGCCUAUCAGCUUGUUGGUGGGGUGANGGCCUACCAAGGCGACGACGGGUAGCCGGCCUGAGAGGGCGACCGGCCACACUGGGACUGAGACACGGCCCAGACUCCUACGGGAGGCAGCAGUGGGGAAUCUUGCGCAAUGGGCGAAAGCCUGACGCAGCGACGCCGCGUGAGGGAUGACGGCCUCGGUUGUAAC
rnacentral:rRNA from 1 species